rnacentral:rRNA from 1 species
GUGGGGAAUAUUGGGCAAUGGGCGGAAGCCUGACCCAGCGACGCCGCGUGGGGGAAGAAGUCUUUCGGGAUGUAAACCCUUGUUGUACGGGACGAAGGAAGUGACGGUACCGUACGAGGAAGCCCCGGCAAACUACGUGCCAGCAGCCGCGGUAAUACGUAGGGGGCGAGCGUCGUCCGGAAUCACUGGGCGUAAAGCGCACGUAGGCGGGCUGUCAAGUCGGCCGUGAAAGGCACGGGCCCAACCUGUGCCUGUCGGUCGAUACUGGCGGUCUGGAGUAUGGGAGAGGGAAGUGGAAUUGCCGGUGUAGGGGUGAAGUGCGUAGGUAUCGGGAGGAACACCAGUGGCGAAGGCGGGUUCCUGGGCCGUGACUGACGCUGGGGUGCGAAAGCCGGGGGAGCGAACGGGAUUAGAUACCCGGGUAGUCC